rnacentral:rRNA from 1 species
UACGUAGGGGGCUAGCGUUGUCCGGAAUCAUUGGGCGUAAAGAGCGUGUAGGCGGUCCGGUAAGUCCGCUGUGAAAGUCGGGGGCUCAACCCUCGAAUGCCGGUGGAUACUGUCGGGCUAGAGUGCGGAAGAGGCGAGUGGAAUUCCUGGUGUAGCGGUGAAAUGCGCAGAUAUCGAGAGGAACACCUGCGGCGAAGGCGGGUUGCUGGGCUGAUACUGACGCUGAGGCGCGAAAGCCAGGGGAGCGAACGGG